CUGUCUCUAAAAGAAAAAAAAAAAAAUCGGCCUGCAAGCAUGGGUUUGAUUUUCAAACAGGACCCGGAGGGUAGGGACAGACAGCGCUGUCACCCUUAGGUGCUGAACACUCAGAAAUGGGCCAGUGGCAGCCCUUUCCUCACCUGCAGACACCAGAUUGGGCAGAACAGCACGUGGCACUGGCAGCUCUUGCAGUGAGGGCAGAACCCAGCAUGAACCCUUCUGCCUGUGGGAGGGGCUGCUGAGGCCUGCGGAGGCCAGGAUGGAGGCUCGUCCCCUUGUCCAGCCCUUGGCGUGGUCUCCACCAGGUCCCCAGCCCACCAGUGCAGGGCGCCCCUGAGCCUGCUGUUGCCAUGGGCCCUGUCUCUACCCAGGACGUCCCCACACCCUCGCAGUGUCAGGGAAAUGAUCAUGGUGACGGUGACACUCCGCAGGCAGGGCUGCUGAGAGAAGCUGAGAAGAGUCACACUGCAGGCAGGGGCCCAUGUGACAAGCCCCUCUCACCCCGAGAGAGCUGACCAGGCAGCUCAUGAGCAGAGCCACAUCCCGGAAGUCCGAGAAAGGUCCCGGCUGGGCUCAGCCACCUCACUGGCCACGGGCAGCCUUUGUCGUGUGAGCCUUGCUCUCCUGGGGAAGCUCAGGCUGACGGCUGAUGUGGGCAUUGCCGAGGGUAACCUGUGGCCCAGUGGAUAUGGCUGGGUCUCCUCAAGCUGCAUUCAUUCAACUAGGACCCAGGGUGCACGCCCAUCUCCAGCCCAGGGCAGCUCCCCUGUAAGCUGGGUGAGCUACUGAAGCCAAGGCGGGAGGCGGCCGACAACACCCACGGCCCAUGCGGAGGUGAUGGAAAGGCUGGACUCAGCAGCAACACCAAAUCCCGGACCAGACAGAAACCACCCAAGACUGAGGGGCUCGUGCCACAGCGGUGGCCACAGCCCCACCUCACCGGCUCAGGGGUUCUUCCCAGUGGCGCUGAUCAUGAAAUCAACAUGCACGCAAGUCGUCUCAGGAAACUUUUUAAUGAAAGUCUCAGCAGUUCUUUCCCCCACGGUGGUGUGUAGGUGGCUGAGCUCAGAUUGCAGCUGCUAAGACACCAGCCACUUACCGAGAGAAAGCCAGGCUGCUUCAAACCCCGGGCCCAAGGCAAAAAAGCAUCAUUUCUGGUCGGGGAGUCUGGAAGCCAUGCCUUGUGGGAGGUCACACUGGCAUCUAGGCCUUCGCCUGCAUUGCAGAAGGAGAGCCGGGUCCCCCUCCUGGAGAACGCUGCAUUCCCCAGCCCCACACCGGCUUUGCCACCACACAGGCUUUUGAGGCAGGAGGCGGAGACUUCGGAACCCACUCCUGAGAACAGCGGAGCCAGGUGCUCAGAGGAAGACCAAAUGCUGCCAGGACACGGAUUGUCCAGGGAUUACAUUCCAGCAUCUUAUUAGAGGACUGAAGCAGAGGGUGCUGUUUCAAUGCCACCACCAGGAGAGAGGCAGAGGGGCUGUGCUGUGCUAGAGUCCUCAGGGAGGGAGUGACCUCGACGCUGGCUGUGCUGCAAGCUGACUCCAGCCUUGGGGUCAGCAGCAGCAGGGUACCCGACCAUGCCAGAGGGGGCAUAGCUCGGUUUCCCACACCUCACUUUUCACAGCCUCCAAGGGCAGCAGUGCACGUGGAGGAGACGUCUCCCAUGAGGCCAAGGCCUCUAGUGCUCACCGAUGCCCUCUGCGAAGUUGGGGUAGAACUCGUCAGUGAAGAGGGGCCCGGGCAGCUCACGGAAGUAUAGCUUCAGCGUGCCUGCAAUGGCGUUCACGUCCAUCUCGCUCAUCAUCACCGACACGUCCUCGUUAUGUGGAAAGAGCACGGAAAUGCUGCGGCCUCCUUGAGGAUCCCGAUAAAUGAAGAAAAGACAAGAGAAGGAUGUGACAUGCCUGGGCCAUGGAGCGCUCUGAGGUCUCAUCGCGGACACCACUGCCCACACCUCCAUCCCGUCCUGCGCAGGCCGACACUCACUGACGUUGAAGGCUGCCUUCAGUGCCUGGAUGUCUGCGGCCACUCCGGACACGCGGUAGAUGCCCACCUCCUCCAUGCCUCGGCGCUCGAUCUCCUCCACACACUGGCGCGUGAUGUAGGGCACCUUGGACCUCUCUCUCCUGCGGGAGGAGGGAAUGUUCUCAGUGUCCCAACAGCCCUGCUUGGGCCAUAACACAGGAGACCUGCUCCCUAUCUGCACACCCGGAGGCGGGGUGAGGACGGUGACGAAGGUACCCAGGUCUGGGGCUGCACACAGGCCUUCUGCAUGCCUGUCCUCCCUCUGCAAGCUCUGUCCUCAUUGCAUGUACUUUCUCAGGAACCUUUCAAGCGGCCAGAACCCCUGUGAAUCACACAUGAUCUUUGCGGGAAGGUCAGGAGGCCUGUCUAAGUCAAGUCAGCACAGGAAGGGCAUCUGACAGAUUCCAGGCCUGAGGUUAGCAGCCUGUGCCCCCAGCUGGGAGAUCAGACCCAGUAUUGGUCCUGCCACCUAUGUGCUGUGUGAGAGGAGAAUCCCUGACCCCUGCCCUAGGCCUAGGCCUUAACAAACAUCUGACGAAUGAAUGAAGGGCUGCCUCAGCACCAGUGCUCCAAGUCCUGUGAUGCUAAGUGCUUUUCUCCUCUGAGUCUUAGCAAUGGACAAUUCCAAUACCACCACACAGGACACUAGAGUAAGAAUACUUCAAAGUUAGUGCUGUGCUGAGGCCUUAACUUUAGUUCUGUUUGCAACUGGAUUUAGGAGCACAUCAAAGCCACUUCUCAAGCCACCCUCAUUAGCAGGGCUUAUUUGGAGGAGCUGCUGAUGGAGUCCUCGCUGCUCAUGCCCAGAGCCCUCCCAGAGUGCUAUGCAAGUGGCUGCCAUGCAGUUGGGGGUGGGACAUGGUGUUUAGACACAGAUAGGAGUCCAGGGUAUGACUGAUGGAGGCCCCGGCCCACGUGACCAGCAAGGUCAGGGGCCCAGCCGGAUUCCAUCCUGGGGAAGCAAAUGAAUUCUCAGAGGAAGUGGUCUGUGUCUGCAUGAACUGCUCUCAAACCCACAAACAGGCUUCUCUUGCCAACUGACCCAUGACAAAGGGUUCAAGAUUGUUUGAAAUAAAAAAAAAGGGAGCAGGGAGGCAGUAGGUCCUGCAAAAGUAAAUUGUUUAUUUUACAAUAAGAAAGUGAUUACAUAUUUCAUUUUUUUUACAAUGGUCAAAAAUUAGAAGUGAUUGUGAAGAUGAUGUCUACCUGCCUUGCUGAUGAGUAGGAUGUGAUUUGGCUCUUUAGGAAACUGAAUUUGCAGAACUUAAGAAUAUUGACUUAUAAAGGGCAUGGCCAUUGACCCAGUCCAUCUUAUGCAAACCUGGAUUCCAUAAAUAAUAUUUAAAAAUGAAAGUAUUGGGGUGGAGGUUGCAGUGAGCGGAGAUCGCGCCACUACACUGCAGCCUGGUCGACAGA
rnacentral:lncRNA from 1 species